rnacentral:rRNA from 1 species
GACGAACGCUGGCGGCGUGCCUAAUACAUGCAAGUCGAGCGGGCCUCCGGAGGUGCUUGCACCUCCGGAAGGCCAGCGGCGGACGGGUGAGUAACACGUGGGCAACCUGCCUUUGAGGCCGGGAUAACACCGGGAAACCGGUGCUAAUACCGGAUACGUCCUCUUUCGCGCCUGCGAGAGGGGAGAAAGACGGUCUUUAAGGCCGUCGCUCAAAGAGGGGCCCGCGGCGCAUUAGCUGGUUGGUGGGGUAAGGGCCUACCAAGGCGACGAUGGGUUGCCGACCUGAGAGGGUGAUCGGCCACACUGGGACUGAGACACGGCCCAGACUCCUGCGGGAGGCAGCAGUAGGGAAUCAUCCGCAAUGGGCGAAAGCCUGACGGUGCAACGCCGCGUGAGUGAGGAAGGUUUUCGGAUCGUAAAGCUCUGUUGUGAGGGAAGAACAGCUUCCGGAGGAAAUGCCGGAGGUUUGCCGGUACCUCACCAGAAAGCCCCGGCUAACUACGUGCCAGCCGCCGCCGUAAUAC